AAGCGGAGGAACGAUGUGGUUUAAUUUCGAUGAUACGCGAGGAACCGUUAACCUGGGCGUUAAGUGGGGAGUGACAGCUGUCGAAAGAUGGCUUUCUUUCGGACACUCUUCAAGGUGCUGCAUGGUUGUCGUCAGCUCGUGCCGUGAGGUGUCGGGUUAAGUCCCAUAACGAGCGCAACCCUUACCGUUAGUUACCAUCAGGUUAAGCUGGGGACUCUAGCGGGACUGCCACCGUAAGGUGAGAGGAAGGUGGGGAUGACGUCAAAUCAGCACGGCCCUUAUGUCCAGGGCUACACACGUGUUACAAUGGCCGGUACAAAGGGCAGCUACUUCGCGAGAAGAUGCUAAUCUCGAAAGCCGGUCUCAGUUCGGAUCGAAGUCUGCAACCCGACUUCGUGAAGCUGGAUUCGCUAGUAAUCGCGCAUCAGCCAUGGCGCGGUGAAUACGUUCCCGGGCCUU
rnacentral:rRNA from 1 species